GACGAACGCUGGCGGCGUGCUUAACACAUGCAAGUCGAACGGAAAGGCCCUGCUUUUGUGGGGUGCUCGAGUUGCGAACGGGUGAGUAACACGUGAGUAACCUGCCCUUGACUUUGGGAUAACUUCAUGAAACUGGGUCUAAUACCGGAUAGGAGCUCCUGCUGCAUGGUGGGGGUUGGAAAGUUUCGGCGGUUGGGGAUGGACUCGCGGCUUAUCAGCUUGUUGGUGGGGUAGUGGCUUACCAAGGCUUUGCAGGGUAGCCGGCCUGAGAGGGUGACCGGCCCCAUUGGGACUGGGCUACGGCACAGACUACUACGGGAGGCAGCAGUGGGGAAUAUUGCACAGUGGGCGGAAGCCUGAUGUAGCAACGCCGCGUGCGGGAUGACGGCAUUCGGGUUGUAAACCGCUUUCGCCUGUGACGAAGCGUGAGUGACGGUACUGGGUAAAGAAGCACCGGCUAACUACGUG
rnacentral:rRNA from 1 species